UAUGUUGGAGAGAAAAUUAGCAAGAAAAAGGCGGGUGAGAAAAUGAGAAGUUGACAGAAAAAGAUUUUUUUCAUUAUCGAAAGGGACAUGUACAACAUCCAUAAUGGUGUGUCUGAUGGAAUUUGUCAUUUCAUUAAUAAAUAAUGCUGAUAAAGAUGCAAACUUAGCAAUUGUGCCUAAAAAAUGACAGCUUUGACAAGGAAAUAUAUCCAUAUAUAACAGUUACUGGUACUGUCUGAAUGCAGUGAAAGGAUCCAGAUGAACAGAUGAAGAGAUUAAGUACAAUGUACAUCAAUUACUUGGAUGAAGAGAAUCUGCAACAUGGGGAAAUAAUGUUCCUGUAGAAAAGUCAAAGAAUGUAUACAUGUGAGAUUCUGAAGUAGCCGUACAUGAUGAGUAGGAAUUUGAAGUGAAUUAUGGGAAAAGUUGUGCUGUGAAAAUAAGAGAUACAUCCGCAUUUUUGGGGUAGCGUUUUAUCCAUAGGAGCUGCAUUUUUCUCGGGAUUUUCCCCCCAAAGGAUCACUUCUAGAGAUGGAGUACUACACAAGCACAAUUUUUUAAAGAAAGAAAAGUCAAUGGAAUGAAAGCCAAAGAAAAGGUGAAGUGAAUUGUCACUCAUUAUAUUUUAAAUUUAAUGUGGACAUGGUCAUUAUUUUAGUUAUGUCAUAACCUUCUUAUCAAUUUUAAGCAGUGCAGACAGAUGCAUUUCUUAUUGCUUUGAAUAGAAUAAAUUAUCAAAAAAGUUUGUAUAUGUUUUUUGAUAUUGAAUUAAAAUUAAAAAAAAAAAACAAAUUAUCAAUUACUGCAGUUUUGAAUUUCAGUACACUAGAAAUUUUUCUGCCCUGCCAUGAAUAUGGCUGGGGCAUAUAGAGUUUGUCAUGUCUGUCUUCCGUCCUUCCAACCUUCUGUCUGUCCUUCCAUUCCCCUUUGCUUUUAGCUCAGUUCAAAACUAAGUUUCAAAGAAACUAUUCAAGAUAUUUUUAUCAAUCUUCAUAUGCUGAUACAUAUUGAUGAGAGGUAUUCAAUUUCAUCAACAUUUUUUUUACCUUGACCUUUCCUUUAACUUUGACCUCACUUUUCUUAAAUUAGUGUUUAGCUCAGUUUUAAAGAAACCAUUCAAGAUAGUGUAAUCAAACUUCAUAUGCUGAUACAUACUGAAUCAACAUUUUUUACCUUGACCUUUCCUUGACCUUGACCGUACUUAUCUUAAAUAAGUGUUUAGCUCAGUUUUAAAGAAACCAUUCAGGAUAGCAUAAUCAAACUUCAUUUGCUGAUACAUACUGAUGAGAGCUAUUCAACUGCAUCAACAUUUUUUGAUCUUGAUCUUUCCUUUGACCUUCACCUCACUUUUCCUAAAUUAGUGUCAAACUUCAUAUGCUGAUACAGACUGAUGGAAGGUAUUCGACUGUAUCAACAUUUUUGACCUUGACAUUUCAUUUGACCUUGACUUCAUUUUUCUUGAAAUAGUGAUUAGCUCAGUGUUAAAUAAACGGUUUCCAUUCAAAAUAUUUUUAUCAAACUUAUUUUGCUUAUGCAUAUUAGUGAGAACUAUUCAACUGCAUCAAAAAUGUAUGACCUUGAACUUUCCUGUGACCUGGACCUCACUUUUCUUAAAUUUGCAUUUUGCUUAGUUUUAAAGAAACCAUUAAAGAUAAUUUUAUGUGAGCUUAUGCACUUAACAGAAUUUGGUGAGAAUUUAUCAUCUAUAUCCAACUUUUUCGAUUUCAAUGUUAAAGAAACUAUUUUAAGAUAUUCUCAUCAAAUUUCAUACACUAAAAAUAUUUUUGUGUUGCAUUACUAAUAUGCCCACAUGGUGCAGUGGUUAAAGCUCUAGAGUUGCGGAGUAAGGAGUUGAUCCUUAUGUCGCUGGUUUGAAUCCCACUGUGGGACGUGGAGACCGUAUAAACCGAGGUCCCAUGUCACAGUAGGUGCUGGCACGAAAAAGAUCCCUCACUGCUUAAUGGCCCUUAGUGCCGAGUAUAGGUCAAGAUUUGCAGCUCUCCACUGGCAAGUGGUGGCGUCUCCAUAUGAGUGAAAAAUUCUCGAGAGGGAUGUUAAACAAUAAACAAGCAAAUAAAAAUUAAUAUACCCUCAGCGGGGCAUUCAUGUCCUAUGGACAUAUUUCUAGUUUUGCCCUCUUGUACAUUUGUACAUGGAUAUACUUUUUAUUUUUGCUCUGUAAGCAACAACAAAAACAUUAUACCAUAAAAUAUGCACAAAAUUAUAUGCUAGGAAUGUAUUGUGAAAGAUGCAUUUCAGCUGACAAAUGUAGCAUCUUGAAGCCAGCUUUUUAAAUUUUUUUCUGAAUGACUUUCAGGUACUUCUUUUAUAUUUGCAACUCAUUUAUAGGGAUGUAUUAGUAUGGUAGCCUGUCUGCCAACACCUUGUAGAUGAGAUUCUAGCACAAAUUGUGUGAAAUGGUUCUCUUAAUUGACAUGAGAAGGUCACCAUUUUUUAUCAAGAUAAAAAUUACUUGUAUGUCUUGUAAUAACAUUAUUUAAUGUAUCCCUUUCAUAGCACACAUGUUCCUUUCAAAGAGAAGAAAACAUUUAUAAUUUUUCAAGGUCAAUAAUCUCAUGGAUGAAAUGCAAACUGUACUAUUUGAAAAAGGUGGUAUAGGUAUUUCAGAGUCUGUAUUACAUCUUGCCAGUUUAUUGUUCGAGGGAAUAUUCUCAUCAAAUAAACUAUGUAAAGAUUUGCUUUUUAAUGCAAAGUAUUUUUAUAAGUAAUAACUUCAUUUCAACUUACAAUGAACAGUUAAUCAAUGCAUCUCACUUUGUAUAUAAUGCAUUUUAGAACACACAUUUGUGGUUUAAAACAUGUUGUAAUAGUUUAAUAAUGCUAUUCAUUUUUUUUAAUUGACAAGAAAUGAAAAUGUAAUGAUUAUUUCAAAAUAGUGUUUUAUUCCUCUUAUGU